AAAAUAUUGGCAAGACUUCGAUGAAAUAGACUCUUCUGUGUUUGUUAUUUGACUUUUGAAAUGCUUGCAGUAGUAGGACAGUGAGUGUUUCACCCGCUGCGAAUUUCACCCACAGAGGCGCCGAGCAACCUGCCCCUAUGACCCCCACGACCCCUUUAUCGACAGGAGCUCGAGGCCAUCACCUGAUGUAACCAUCACGUGGCCUUCCGUCGAUGUUAUAAAUCAUGCGGAAGAUACGUGAAUAUAGGAUAGAAGUCACCCGAACUUAUAGUAAAUUUAGAAGUUUGAUUCAAGAAGUUGGAGAUUCGUCAUUAUUCAUAAUUAAACCAGCUGUUCUCAAUCCCUUUUCACUCGCAAACAUCUGAGCCUUCUAUGUAUAGACUUGUAGCACUAACGUAUCCUUCUUGCGUACCCUCGGUGGUACGUGUACCACUGAUUGAGAAUUGCUAGUGAAAACAGUUAAAGUUUAAACUAGUUAAUUCUUUUAUUUGUAUUUCUUUUUAUGC